CUGUGGGUUUCAACUCUCUGAAUUUUGACCUGAGGGUACUCAGCAGAGCAGUGCUGGCUGCUCUGCUCCCCUGGGCUGCACGUCAGGGAUGCUCUAACACCUCACAACUGCAACUGCCUCUGCUUCAGUCUUGGUCCUUUGGAUAAAGACCCUAUAAAGGCUGACUGAGAUGGUGUACAAUGUACAGAAGAAUCUGCUUCACCCACUUGCACUGUAGUCAAACACAACAUGCUGAACUCCACUGACUCCUCUUGCAAAGCUGAAGCUGGUGCACAGCAGCAGGAUCAAUUCAAGAGGUCCCAGAGUGGAAUCUGACCUCACCUGGGACUUCACAUAUGCCCUGGGGCUAAAACAUCCUGUGUAGCAUAGCUCUGUGCUGUGCAAGAUGAUGGGGCUGAGAGGAGAAUCAGCCACUUUGUUUCAGGGGUUAAAGCUGCAGAUUUUAAAAGGAAAAGGUAUUUCAAAAACUAAUAAAAAGAGUUUAGCUGCUUUAGCCAUCAAGCAACCAAAGAGACCUCCAAUGGUCACUGGAAUUUAGUUCUAGGAUUUAUUGGAUGCUAUUGGAAUGAGAAAUUCUUGGCAUCAAAUUUUGAAAAGGAAGAGGAAGUGCUGUGAAUGCCAAAAUAGUGUUAAUUAAGGGUCUUCAAGAAGUUCUUGUCUCCCUAGGAGCCACUUUCUCUUAUAUACUCUUGGAAAAAUAUACAAUCCUUCUUUUUAAGAGAUCCUCUUGCCAAGAGAUUCUUAAAGUACUUCACCUGCAUUACACCCAUUAACUUUGCAAAUUCCUUAUUAUCUGAUUUUAUAGAAGGGUGAAAGUAUGGACACAGAACGUAUGAAGUCGUAAAUGCUUUACCUAUUGCCAAAAUCUGAAAUAUCUUCUGGGGAUCCAGAAUAACUCCUGCCCAUCAGAAGGUUGCUAUUUUUUUCCCCCAGGGCCAACUCAGUAACAAACCAAAACAUAUCUGUCUGCUGCAUAUAGUGGGCUUUGAACUGGACAUAUGGCAUGCAGUGAUGACCUUUUUUUCCCUACACAUCCUUUACACUGAGCUAUUGCCCUUGUUAAAAGGGAGCAAUUUGGACCCACAGCUGGGUAUUAUGUAACUCACUCCUCCACCAACCCUUCCUGGCACAUUUCAGCUCAAUAUUGAAAAACAAGGUGCAGUUUGGCACCUUGGCAACAAAUCUUGACAAACUUUUAUUUCAACCGUGGCAGCCAGAAGCUGUGCCAGAGGCCAGGAUCCCAUCGGACCAUGGGCUGCACUGACACUAAAUCCUACCCUUAGCAGCCACCAUGGCCAAAGAGUGGCACACUGCACUAAAAGUGGCCACCUGGUUCAGCUGGCAGGGCACUUGUGCAAUGCAUGCCACACCUGGACAUGGCAAAACAUUCAAUACACAUACGGCACCAUGAAACACUUCCCUACAAUCAUCCUGAGGCCCAGUGUUAAAAAAGGAAGAAACAAAAAUAAUAUCCCAGAACAUGACAGUAAAGGAGAAGACAGACAUUGCUGAUGACACUGGUACUUUAAAGAACAAUGCAUUCCUUUGGAAAAUGCCUAGAGGAUCCCAAGAUGCAGCCCAUCCCUCUGGGUAUAGUCAGGCGAACCGAUUCAGCAGUUCCUGCCAAUCUGACCUGGAAAAUGGCCUUAAAUCUGUUUGACUCCAAGUCAAUGUGAAAAACACAUCAAUCUGGCACUUGAAAGUUGCUAUAAAGAGCACCAGCACAAAUGGUGCUACAUCCUGUUUCUAGUUCUGGAAAUCUCUAGUUCUUCAAAAAGAGAUGAGGAAAUAAACCAUUCCCAAAAGCCAAGUUAUAUAAUAAGGGUGAUAAUGGGAAAGUUCAU